rfam:Pedobacter ginsenosidimutans strain KACC 14530 contig20, whole genome shotgun sequence.
AGAUGGUGGAGCAGCUACCACAUCAAAAACGGGCGAAACCGAAAAGCCUUAAGAGUAGGAGAUUA